rnacentral:rRNA from 1 species
UACAGAGGGUGCAAGCGUUGUUCGGAAUUAUUGGGCGUAAAGCGCGUGUAGGCGGCUUUGCAAGUCGGGUGUGAAAGCCCUCAGCUUAACUGAGGAAGUGCGCCCGAAACUGCAGAGCUUGAGUACCGGAGAGGAUGGCGGAAUUCCCGAAGUAGAGGUGAAAUUCGUAGAUAUCGGGAGGAACACCGGUGGCGAAGGCGGCCAUCUGGACGGAUACUGACGCUGAGACGCGAAAGCGUGGGGAGCAAACAGG